rnacentral:rRNA from 1 species
GAUAGCUAAUACCGCAUGAUAUUAAUUGUCGCAUGAUAAUUAAUUGAAAAGAUGCAAUUGCAUCACUACCAGAUGGACCUGCGUUGUAUUAGCUAGUUGGUGAGGUAACGGCUCACCAAGGCGACGAUACAUAGCCGACCUGAGAGGGUGAUCGGCCACACUGGGACUGAGACACGGCCCAGACUCUACGGGAGGCAGCAGUAGGGAAUCUUCGGCAAUGGGGGGAACCCUGACCGAGCAACGCCGCGUGAGUGAAGAAGGUUUUCGGAUCGUAAAGCUCUGUUGUAAGAGAAGAACGGGUGUGAGAGUGGAAAGUUCACACGUGACG